CAUAAAGCGUUGAAGGAACGAGUAGAAAGCAGACCACUCCAAAGAGAGGUGUACCUUGGCUGAAAGUACACUGUGUGAAGGGCUUUUGAAAGCUACUCCUGAGUGCAGAUAAUCUCUGACGUUAAGCCGCGUUAAGGUGUUUAAGUGAUAGACAAUAGCUGUCUAUAAUUAGGGUGGUACCGCGUGAUAAACUCUCGUCCCUUUU
rnacentral:ncRNA from 1 species